rnacentral:rRNA from 1 species
UACGUAGGGUGCAAGCGUUAAUCGGAAUUACUGGGCGUAAAGCGUGCGCAGGCGGUGAUGUAAGACAGUUGUGAAAUCCCCGGGCUCAACCUGGGAACUGCAUGUGUGACUGCAUUGCUGGAGUGCGGCAGAGGGGGAUGGAAUUCCGCGUGUAGCAGUGAAAUGCGUAGAUAUGCGGAGGAACACCGAUGGCGAAGGCAAUCCCCUGGGCCUGCACUGACGCUCAUGCACGAAAGCGUGGGGAGCAAACAGG